GCUGUGAUGGCCGCUUGGCCGAGUGGUUAAGGCGUUGGACUUGAAAUCCAAUGGGGUUUCCCCGCGCAGGUUCGAACCCUGCUCGCAGCG